GAGGGUAUAGCUCAAGUGGUAGAGUGCAUGCUUAGCAUGCAUGAGGUCCCUGGGUUCAAUCCUCAGUACCUCUG
rnacentral:tRNA from 1 species